AGCAGCCGCGGUAAUUCCGGCUCCAAUAGCGUAUAUUAAAGUUGCUGCAGUUAAAAAGCUCGUAGUUGAAUUUCGGGACUAAUAUGUCGGUCGUGCCUCGGUACGUACUGGCUUAUUGGUUUCUCCUUUCUGAAGAACCAUGAUGUCAUUUAUUUGGUGUCGUGGGGAAUCAGGACUGUUACUUUGAAAAAAUUAGAGUGUUUAAAGCAGGCUCACGCUUGAAUACAUUAGCAUGGAAUAAUGAAAUAGGACGUUUGAUUCUAUUUUGUUGGUUUCUAGGAUCGACGUAAUGAUUAAUAGGGAUAGUUGGGGGCAUUAGUAUUCAAUUGUCAGAGGUGAAAUUCUUGGAUUUAUUGAAGACUAACUACUGCGAAAGCAUUUGCCAAGGAUGUUUUCAUUAAUCAAGACGAAAGUUAGGGGAUCGAAGACGAUCAGAUAUCGUCGUAGUCUUAACCAUAAACUAUGCCGACUAGGGAUCGGAUGAUGUUAAUUUUUUUAAUGUACUCAUUCGGCGCC
rnacentral:rRNA from 1 species